UACAGAGGGUGCAAGCGUUGUUCGGAAUCAUUGGGCGUAAAGGGCGCGUAGGCGGUCCGAUAAGUCCCGUGUGAAAUCCCUCGGCUCAACUGAGGAAUGGCACGGGAAACUGCCGGGCUUGAGUUCGGGAGAGGGAAGCGGAAUUCCGGGUGUAGCGGUGAAAUGCGUAGAUAUCCGGAGGAACACCGGUGGCGAAGGCGGCUUCCUGGACCGACACUGACGCUGAGGCGCGAAAAGCUAGGGGGAGCAAACGGG
rnacentral:rRNA from 1 species